CUGGGCCGCAUCUCGCUCAUGGUCUACGGCGGGCUGGCGGCGCUCGUCUUCUGCGGCUACAUCAUCUACGACACCGACAACCUCAUCAAGCGCUACUCCUACGACGAGUACGUCUGGGCCGCCGUCGCGCUCUACCUCGACGUCAUCAACCUCUUCCUCUCCCUGCUCACCCUCUUCAGGGCAUCCGAUUCCUGAAGUGCCUGCAUCUCCUGCCGUAGCGUAGCGUAGCCACUCGUCGUAUCCUACUCCAGUAAUCCUGCCCCUGCCGUUACAUAACGAAUGUGAUUUGCUUGUGUGUGAAACAAUUUAUUGUAAAUUAGUUUUGACUUGUUUUACAUAAUUUGGUCUAUGUAACUUUGUAGUCUGCCAAUAUCAAGAUUGCUGAAUGGAAUGAAAUUCAGGAGCUGCUACUGCUAGCUUGGGCUCUGUUUUAGCUGCCGCGCCUGCCUCCGGUAAAAUGUUCUGCAAGUUCUCCUGGCAUCCAUCGUCUUAUCUUGCGGUUUGGGCGUGUUGUCGUCGAUGCUGCUGCGGGGUGAGGAAGCCAGGGACAGAAUCAUGUGCUCCUGCGUUCAUCGGCGUGUGCGCUUGGGCCAUCAGCCUCAGCCCAUGACUGUGGUUCCGAUUCUGUCGAGCGAGAUCGAACUACCGUGGGGCACGUUCAGUACCUGGCAUGUGUCGUUCGUAAAAUACUGUACUGCGUACAGGGUACUCGCGUCCUACGUACAGGGUACUCGUACGAUCGUACUUAAUGUACAGGGGAGAUUGUAGUAUUGUAUAGUCGUGCGGUUGAGAUAAUAUUGCAGUGGAGGUGAGUAAAUUAAAUUACACAUACCCAGUGCGGCUAGGAGUACCAUAUUUGCAUUUUACACACAGGGAUCAACAAUUUUGAGUCCCCACAAAAAAAAAACCAAUACUUUUGAGUCGAGUUGUGACUCUACAUAUGAGCUGGUGGGCAUGGACUUUUUUUUUGAG
rnacentral:lncRNA from 1 species